AGCUCAUGACUGGGCUUAAAGCGCGCGUAGGCGGACAUUUAAGUCAGGGGUGAAAUCCCAGAGCUCAACUCUGGAACUGCCUUUGAUACUGGGUGUCUUGAGUGUGAGAGAGGUAUGUGGAACUCCGAGUGUAGAGGUGAAAUUCGUAGAUAUUCGGAAGAACACCAGUGGCGAAGGCGACAUACUGGCUCAUUACUGACGCUGAGGCGCGAAAGCGUGGGGAGCAAACAGGAUUAGAUACCCUGGUAGUCCACGCCGUAAACGAUGAUUGCUAGUUGUCGGGCUGCAUGCAGUUCGGUGACGCAGCUAACGCAUUAAGCAAUCCGCCUGGGGAGUACGGUCGCAAGAUUAAAACUCAAAGAAUUGACGG
rnacentral:rRNA from 1 species